AGUAACACGUGGAUAAUCUGCCCUGCACAGGGGGACAACAGCUAGAAAUGGCUGCUAAUACCGCAUAAGCCUACAGCCUCGCAUGAGGGAGUAGGAAAAGAAAUUCGGUGCAGGAUGAGUCCGCGUCUGAUUAGCUAGUUGGAGGGGUAAAAGCCCCACCAAGGCAACGAUCAGUAGCCGGCCUGAGAGGGCGACCGGCCACAUUGGGACUGAGACACGGCCCAAACUCCUACGGAAGGCAGCAG
rnacentral:rRNA from 1 species